GUAGGUUGGUCAUGCCACUGGUAUGUACUGGUCUCACUGAUUCCUCCUUCCUGAUGAGCCGUAAUGCCAUUAAUUUGGUGUUGCGAGGAAUCUGGACUGUUACUUUGAAAAAAUUAGAGUGUUUAAAGCAGGCAUGCGCUUGAAUACGUUAGCAUGGAAUAUGAAAUAGGAUGUUCGAUUUCUAUUUUGUUGGUUUCUAGGAUUGACGUAAUGAUUAAUAGGGAUAGUUGGGGGCAUUAGUAUUCAAUUGUCAGAGGUGAAAUUCUUGGAUUGAUUGAAGACUAACUACUGCGAACGCAUUUGCCAAGGAUGUUUUCAUUAAUCAGGAACGAAAGUUAGGGGAUCGAAGACGAUCAGAUACCGUCGUAGUCUUAACCAUGAACUAUGCCGACUAGGGAUCGGACGGUGUUAUUUUUGACCCGUUCGGCGCCUUACGGGAAAC
rnacentral:rRNA from 2 species